UCCCCAUUCAACCCUAAGCACUACAAUUAGCCAAUUUUAACCGUGCACUGUAUGUCUGCACUAUACUGUCCAGCAAGCAACCAGAUGCCAAUUAGAGAGGUUCAACUACAAAUCCUUCAUAGUGGGCUCACAAAUUAUCUCUUUCAUAUUUAGCUCCCCAUAAAUCUGAAGCAAGAGUCCUAACAAAGAUAACAGGUUCUUUCUGCUGUACAUGAUUUAUCCAGAAAAGAAAUAAGUACUACUUCACAUCUGAAAAAAAGAUGACAGGUAUCUGUCUACUGUGACUUCAAUAGAAAAUUGACAUAUGCCUGUCAUCUUUUUUUUCAGA
rnacentral:misc_RNA from 1 species